UACGUAGGGUGCGAGCGUUAAUCGGAAUUACUGGGCGUAAAGCGUGCGCAGGCGGUUUUGUAAGCCAGAUGUGAAAUCCCCGGGCUCAACCUGGGAAUGGCAUUUGGGACUGCAAGGCUCGAGUUUGGCAGAGGAGACUGGAAUUCCUGGUGUAGCAGUGAAAUGCGUAGAUAUCAGGAGGAAUACCGAUGGCGAAGGCAGCCCCCCUGGGCUAACACUGACGCUCAGGCACGAAAGCGUGGGGAGCAAACAGG
rnacentral:rRNA from 1 species